rnacentral:lncRNA from 1 species
UUGAAUUUUAUUCGUCAAAAAUAUGGGAUAUAACAUUUGUUUCAAACGACAAAAUGUUUAUUUCUAGAAAAGGAAAAGACACACACACAUAUAUAAAUUUAAUAGUGUAAAAGAUAAAUAAACAAUGCGAAAGGUCUCCUCCUUAAUCAACUUUGUAUUAUUUAAAACCGAACAAAAGCAAAACCAAAAGCCACAAGUAACCCCAAACCUACAAGAAAUAAAAAUAAACACGGACCUCCGUUAGAAAGAGAGUAAGAAGAAAAUGGCGACGGCAACGAUGAUCUUUGCGGCGGCGAUGACGGCGAUGAUUUUGGUUUCAUUGCAGCAGGUGGAAGCGCAAUCGGCUACGACGUGCGUAAACAAGCUAGUCCCCUGCUUCAGUGCUCUGACAACGACCACGAAGCCACCAAAGGAUUGUUGUGACUCGAUAAAGGAAGCGGUGGAGGAUGAGCUUCCAUGUCUCUGCACCGUCUACAACACUCCUGGUUUGCUCUCUCAGUUCAACGUCAGUACUGCACAAGCUCUAAAUCUCAGCCGUCGAUGUGACGUCACCACUGAUCUCUCCGCUUGUUCCGGUAGCUUGUGACUUCUUCAGAUCUCUCAGAUUUAUUAAUUUUAAUUAGUCACUAGAAAUAAUGUUUUUAUUUAUUUUUCAGGUACUGGAGCUUCAUCGCCAAAAGCUUCUUUACCUCCUCCAGGUAUAAAUUAACUUCACCUGCUCUUCACAUUUUUUUAACUAAAAAAAAUAUAUCGAAUAUAUUUUUCUCAAAUAUUUAUUGGUUUAUCAAUUUUUAGAAUUUAAUUUCAAGUCUCGUUUGGUGAAUUAUACUACCAUUUUAUUAUUGAUUAGCUGGAAUUUAGUUGUAAAAUCAUAUGUUUUUAGACUAUCUCUAAUACAUUUUUCUAUUUUUAUGUCUAAAGUAGAGAAACUCUAUAAUAGAGAUGAGUUUUACUCCAAAGUAUUUUCUUAAAAUAGAAAUCUUUACAUAUAAAACAAAAUAUAGAAGAAUAUUAUUUUUUUUCUUCUAUAAAUAGAAGAAAAAAUAGCAAUUUAUAUUUUAGAGGCAUAAAUAGAAAUAGAUUAAAAUGAUUUUACUUUUAAAUACUAUUAUAAAUAUAGAAAUAGGGGUGAGUUGGAGUUCUCUAAGAGCAUUUCCAAUCCAUAGCUAUUUCCACUUCUAUAAUAGCAUUUAAAGGUGAAAUUGCUCCAACUCAUUUCUAUUUCUUCCUCUAUAAUAGAGAUCUCUAUUUUUUCUUCUAUUUAUGAAGGAAGAAAUAGCAUUUUUCUAUUUUUUACUCUAUAUUUAAAAAUUGUUAUUUUAGAGAAAUACAUUAAAGCAUAUCUCAUUUCUAUCAUAGAGUUUCUUUAUUUUAGAGGUAAGAGUAUCUCCAACCCCACUCUAUUUUUCACUUUAAAAUAGAGUUUAGAGUAAAAAAUGCUCCAAUGGUACUCUAUUUCUCACUCUAUAAUAGAGUGAAAAAUAGGUUUACUCUAAAUAUAGAGUAAUUUGUUUUUUCUUUGUUCAUCACUCUAUUUUCUACUCUAAACAUAUUCUAGAUUUUUCACAUAUAUUAAGAAAACUCAUUAAAUAUGCAUUGUUUUUUGUGAAUAACAAUUUUCCAUAACUUUAAGCCAAGAGAAAUUCAAUAAACACCAUUAAUUUUUUUGAAACUUACAAUUUUUCAUAAAAUCAUACAUUGAAAAAGUAAAAAAUGUAUCUUUUUAAAACAAAUUUUUUUUUCCAGAACAUACAUUUUUUAGGAACGGAGGGAGUAGUGCGGAAAGUAAACAAAGAUGCGUAAAUGUAAUCAAGGAACAUCAUUUUCAAUGAAUUUAUAAUUUACCUGUCAAACAUUGAAUUUUAUUCGUCAAAAAUAUGGGAUAUAACAUUUGUUUCAAACGACAAAAUGUUUAUUUCUAGAAAAGGAAAAGACACACACACAUAUAUAAAUUUAAUAGUGUAAAAGAUAAAUAAACAAUGCGAAAGGUCUCCUCCUUAAUCAACUUUGUAUUAUUUAAAACCGAACAAAAGCAAAACCAAAAGCCACAAGUAACCCCAAACCUACAAGAAAUAAAAAUAAACACGGACCUCCGUUAGAAAGAGAGUAAGAAGAAAAUGGCGACGGCAACGAUGAUCUUUGCGGCGGCGAUGACGGCGAUGAUUUUGGUUUCAUUGCAGCAGGUGGAAGCGCAAUCGGCUACGACGUGCGUAAACAAGCUAGUCCCCUGCUUCAGUGCUCUGACAACGACCA